UACGUAGGGACCAAGCGUUGUCCGGAAUCAUUGGGCGUAAAGAGCGUGUAGGCGGCUUGUUAAGUCUUGCGUGAAAUCUCGGGGCUCAACCCCGAGCGGUCGUGAGAAACUGGCAGGCUAGAGUGCGGGAGAGGAGAGUGGAAUUCCUGGUGUAGCGGUGAAAUGCGCAGAUAUCUGGAGGAACACCGGUGGCGAAGGCGACAUCCUGGACCGGUAUUGACGCUGAGGCGCGAAAGCCAGGGGAGCAAACGGG
rnacentral:rRNA from 1 species